rnacentral:rRNA from 1 species
AUUGAACGCUGGCGGCAGGCCUCACACAUGCAAGUCGAACGAGUGGCGGACGGGUGAGUAAUGUCUGGGAAACUGCCUGAUGGAGGGGGAUAACUACUGGAAACGGUAGCUAAUACCGCAUACCAUCGGAUGUGCCCAGAUGGGAUUAGCUAGUAGGUGGGGUAAAGGCCUACCAAGGGGACGAUCCGGAACUGGUCUGAGAGGAUGAUAAGUCACACUGGAACUGAGACCCGGUCCAGACUCCUAUGUGAGGCAGCAGUGGGGAAUAUUGCACAAUGGGCGCAAGCCUGAUGCAGCCAUGCCGCGUGGAUGAAGAAGGCCUUCGGGUUGUAAAGUACUUUCAGCGGGGAGGCGUUACCCGCAGAAGAAGCACCGGCUAACUCCGGGCCAGCAGCCGCGGUAAUAC